UACAGAGGUGGCGAGCGUUAUUCGGAAUUAUUGGGCGUAAAGGGCGCGUAGGCGGCAUAUUAAGUCAUCUGUGAAAUCUCCGAGCUUAACUCGGAACUGUCAGCUGAUACUGAUGUGCUAGAGUGCGGAAGGGGCAAUCGGAAUUCUUGGUGUAGCGGUGAAAUGCGCAGAUAUCAGGAAGAACACCCGUGGCUAAGGCGGCUCUCUAGUACGGUACUGACGCUGAGACGCGAAAGCGUGGGGAGCGAACAGG
rnacentral:rRNA from 1 species